rnacentral:rRNA from 1 species
GGAGGAAAAGAAACCAACAGGGAUUGCCUCAGUAACGGCGAGUGAAGCGGCAAAAGCUCAAAUUUGAAAUCCCCCGGGAAUUGUAAUUUGAAGAGAUUUGGGUCCGGCCGGCRGGGGUUAAGUCCACUGGAAAGUGGCGCCACAGAGGGUGACAGCCCCGUGAACCCCYUCAAMGCCCUCAUCCCAGAUCUCCAAGAGUCGAGUUGUUUGGGAAUGCAGCUCUAAGUGGGUGGUAAAUUCCAUCUAAAGCUAAAUACCGGCGAGAGACCGAUAGCGAACAAGUACAGUGAUGGAAAGAUGAAAAGCACUUUGAAAAGAGAGUGAAAAAGUACGUGAAAUUGUUGAAAGGGAAGGGCUUGCAAGCAGACACUUAACUGGGCCAGCAUCGGGGCGGCGGGAAACAAAACCACCGGGGAAUGUACCUUUCGAGGAUUAUAACCCCGGUCUCAAUUUCCUUGUUGCCCCGAGGCCUGCAAUCUAAGGAUGCUGGCGUAAUGGUUGCAAGUCGCCCGUCUU